CCGCUCCACAUUCUCGGCAAAACUACUCGAGACUUGCCGAAUACGAGAGUGUGGAGAGCAUAUUCGUCUAUAUUCGUAUUGUCUCGUGCAGUCUCCAUCCCGUGUCGGUAUUUCGUAUCCGAAUCAAAGGGCUCUCGUGUAGUUUUGCCGAAACACAAAACACUCCCUCCACAAGUCCACAUUCCCGCCGCCUAUUAAAUUAUAUUAAAAU